rnacentral:rRNA from 1 species
GUAUGUGGUUUAAUUCGAUGCAACGCGAAGAACCUUACCUGGUCUUGACAUCCCGGAGACCCUUAGGAAACUAGGGGGUGCUUCCAGUCUGGAAGAAUCUGGAGACAGGUGCUGCAUGGCUGUCGUCAGCUCGUGUCGUGAGAUGUUGGGUUAAGUCCCGCAACGAGCGCAACCCUUGCCUUUAGUUGCCAGCAGUUCGGCUGGGCACUCUAAAGGGACUGCCGGUGUUAAACCGGAGGAAGGUGGGGAUGGCGUCAAGUCCUCAUGGCCUUUAUGACCAGGGCUACACACGUACUACAAUGGCCGAUACAAAGGGCAGCGACACUGCGAGGUGAAGCCAAUCCCGUAAAAUCGGUCUCAGUCCGGAUUGGAGUCUGCAACUCGACUCCAUGAAGUUGGAAUCGCUAGUAAUCGUGGAUCAGCAUGCCACGGUGAAUACGUUCCCGGGCCUU